rnacentral:rRNA from 1 species
AAAAAAGCCACUAAGCUUCAGCUACACACGACCGUACCGCAAACCGACACUGGUGCGCGAGAUGAGUAUUCUAAGGCGCUUGAGAGAACUCUGGAGAAGGAACUCGGCAAAUUGACACCGUAACUUCGGAAGAAGGUGUGCCCCUAGUAGGUGAAGUCGUACAGACGGAGCCCAAUGGGGUCGCAGAUAAUAGGUGGCUGCGACUGUUUAUUAAAAACACAGCACUCUGCAAAGACGAAAGUCGACGUAUAGGGUGUGACGCCUGCCCGGUGCUGGAAGAUUAAAUGAUGGGGUGCAAGCUCUUGACUGAAGUCCCAGUAAACGGCGGCCGUAACUAUAACGGUCCUAAGGUAGCGAAAUUCCUUGUCGGGUAAGUUCCGACCUGCACGAAUGGCGUAACGAUGGCCACGCUGUCUCCUCCAGAGACUCAGCGAAGUUGAAAUGUUUGUGAUGAUGCAAUCUCCCCGCGGAAAGACGGAAAGACCCCAUGAACCUUUACUGUAGCUUUACAUUGGACUUUGAACAGAUCUGUGUAGGAUAGGUGGGAGGCUUUGAAACCUGGUCGCUAGAUCAGGUGGAGCCAACCUUGAAAUACCACCCUGGUGUGUUUGAGGUUCUAACCUUGGCCCGUUAUCCGGGUUGGGGACAGUGUAUGGUGGGCAGUUUGACUGGGGCGGUCUCCUCCCAAAGCGUAACGGAGGAGUUCGAAGGUACGCUAGGCACGGUCGGAAAUCGUGCUGAUAGUGCAUUGGCAUAAGCGUGCUUGACUGCGAGACUGACAAGUCGAGCAGGUACGAAAGUAGGACAAAGUGAUCCGGUGGUUCUGUAUGGAAGGGCCAUCGCUCAACGGAUAAAAGGUACUCUGGGGAUAACAGGCUGAUACCGCCCAAGAGUUCAUAUCGACGGCGGUGUUUGGCACCUCGAUGUCGGCUCAUCUCAUCCUGGGGCUGUAGCCGGUCCCAUGGGUAUGGCUGUUCGCCAUUUAAAGAGGUACGUGAGCUGGGUUUAAAACGUCGUGAGACAGUUUGGUCCCUAUCUUCCGUGGGCGCUGCAAGAUUGAGAGAGCCUGCUCCUAGUACGAGAGGACCGGAGUGGACGCACCUCUGGUGUAUCGGUUGUCACGCCAGUGGCAUCGCCGAGUAGCUAAGUGCGGAAGAGAUAACCGCUGAAAGCAUCUAAGCGGGAAACUCGUCUCAAGAUGAGUCUUGCCGGGGCCUAGAGCCCCCUGAAGAGUCGUUCGAGACCAGGACGUUGAUAGGUCGGGUGUGGAAGCGCAGUAAUGCGUUAAGCUAACCGAUACUAAUUGCUCGUGAGGCUUGACCCC